rnacentral:rRNA from 1 species
GUAGGCUGCAACUCGCCUACACGAAGCUGGAAUCGCUAGUAAUCGCGGAUCAGCACGCCGCGGUGAAUACGUUCCCGGGCCUUGUACACACCGCCCGUCACACCAUGAGAGUCUGUAACACCCAAAGCCGGUGGGAUAACCUUUAUAGGAGUCAGCCGUNUAAGGUAGGACAGAUGAUUAGGGUGAAGUCGUAACAAGGUACC